rnacentral:rRNA from 1 species
GUGGGGAAUCUUCCACAAUGGACGAAAGUCUGAUGGAGCAACGCCGCGUGAGUGAAGAAGGGUUUCGGCUCGUAAAGCUCUUUCGUUAGGGACGAACGUGCUCUUUGUGAAUAAUGAGGAGUAAUGACGGUACCUAAAUAAGAAGCCACGGCUAACUACGUGCCAGCAGCCGCGGUAAUACGAAGGUGGCAAGCGUUGUCCGGAAUUAUUGGGCGUAAAGCGCGCGCAGGCGGGAUAUCAAGUCUGUCUUAAAAGUGCGAGGCUCAACCUCGUGAGGGGACAGAAACUGGUAUUCUUGAGUGUCGGAGAGGAAAGUGGAAUUCCAAGUGUAGCGGUGAAAUGCGUAGAGAUUUGGAAGAACACCAGUGGCGAAGGCGACUUUCUGGACGAUGUCUGACGCUGAGGCGCGAAAGCUAGGGGAGCGAACGGGAUUAGAAACCCGUGUAGUCC